GGGCUUGUCGAUUUUAGGCUUAAAAAUGGCCCUUAAAUAUUCCCCCUCUAAAUCAACAUGGGAUGCGGACUUCUAAUCCGUAGGUCGUAGGUUCGAAUCCUACCAGGCGUACCA
rnacentral:tRNA from 1 species